UGGGGAAUAUUGGACAAUGGGGGAAACCCUGAUCCAGCGAUGCCGCGUGUGUGAAGAAGGCCUGAGGGUUGUAAAGCACUUUCAGUGGGGAGGAGAGGUGAUAGGUUAAGAGCUAAUUACUGAGACGUUACCCACAGAAGAAGCACCGGCUAACUCCGUGCCAGCAGCCGCGGUAAUACGGAGGGUGCAAGCGUUAAUCGGAAUUACUGGGCGUAAAGGGUGCGUAGGUGGAUAUUUAAGUUAGCUGUGAAAGUCCUGGGCUUAACCUAGGGAGGUCAGCUAAAACUGGGUAUCUAGAGUGAAGGAGAGGGUAGUGGAAUUUCCGGUGUAGCGGUGAGAUGCGUAGAGAUCGGAAGGAACACCAGUGGCGAAGGCGGCUACCUGGCCAGACACUGACACUGAGGCACGAAAGCGUGGGGAGCAAACAGG
rnacentral:rRNA from 1 species